CAGCAGCCGCGGUAACACGUAGGGUGCGAGCGUUAAUCGGAAUUACUGGGCGUAAAGCGUGCGCAGGCGGUUGUGUAAGACAGGUGUGAAAUCCCCGGGCUUAACCUGGGAACUGCGCUUGUGACUGCACAGCUAGAGUAUGGCAGAGGGGGGUGGAAUUCCACGUGUAGCAGUGAAAUGCGUAGAGAUGUGGAGGAACACCGAUGGCGAAGGCAGCCCCCUGGGCCAAUACUGACGCUCAUGCACGAAAGCGUGGGGAGCAAACCGGAUUAGAUACCCUCGUAGUCCCUGUCUCUUAUAC
rnacentral:rRNA from 1 species